CCACACAUGGUGACACCUUUAAGGA
rnacentral:tRNA from 1 species